UUGGAGGGCAAGUCUGGUGCCAGCAGCCGCGGUAAUUCCAGCUCCAAUAGCGUAUAUUAAAGUUGUUGCAGUUAAAAAGCUCGUAGUUGAAUUUCGGGACCAAUUUGUUGGUCGUGCCUCGGUACGUACUGGUAUUAUUGGUUUCUACCUUCUGAAGAACCUUGAUGUCAUUAAUUUGGUGUCUUGGGGAAUCAGGACUGUUACUUUGAAAAAAUUAGAGUGUUUAAAGCAGGCUCACGCUUGAAUACAUUAGCAUGGAAUAACGGAGUAGGACGUUUGAUUCUAUUUUGUUGGUUUCUAGGAUCGACGUAAUGAUUAAUAGGGAUAGUUGGGGGCAUUAGUAUUCAAUUGUCAGAGGUGAAAUUCUUGGAUUUAUUGAAGACUAACUACUGCGAAAGCAUUUGCCAAGGAUGUUUUCAUUAAUCAAGAACGAAAGUUAGGGGAUCGAAGACGAUCAGAUACCGUCGUAGUCUUAACCAUAAACUAUGCCGACUAGGGAUCGGAUGAUGUUAAUUUUUUAAUGACUCAUUCGGCGCCUUACGGGAAAC
rnacentral:rRNA from 1 species